AAACCAACAGGGAUUGCCCUAGUAACGGCGAGUGAAGCGGCAACAGCUCAAAUUUGAAAGCUGGCCUUCGGGUCCGCAUUGUAAUUUGUAGAGGAUGCUUUGGGUGAAACGCCAGUCUAAGUUCCUUGGAACAGGACGUCAUAGAGGGUGAGAAUCCCGUAUGUGACUGGAAAUGUUAACCUAUGUAAAGCUCCUUCGACGAGUCGAGUUGUUUGGGAAUGCAGCUCUAAAUGGGAGGUAAAUUUCUUCUAAAGCUAAAUAUUGGCGAGAGACCGAUAGCGCACAAGUAGAGUGAUCGAAAGAUGAAAAGCACUUUGGAAAGAGAGUUAAAAAGCACGUGAAAUUGUUGAAAGGGAAGCGCUUGCAAUCAGACUUGUUUAAACUGUUCGGCCGGUCUUCUGACCGGUUUACUCAGUUUGGACAGGCCAGCAUCAGUUUCGGCGGCCGGAUAAAGGCUCUGGGAAUGUGGCCUCCACUUCGGUGGAGGUGUUAUAGCCCAGGGUGUAAUACGGCCAGCCGGGACUGAGGUCCGCGCUUCGGCUAGGAUGCUGGCGUAAUGGUUGUAAGCGAC
rnacentral:rRNA from 1 species